AGGCCGGGCAGAGCAGCGCCGCCGCCGUCGGGCGCGCAGCUCUGCAGCGCCGCGAACGCCUCUGUGUCCGCAGCCCCCGGAGCCCCGCGGGCCCGCAUUGUCCCUAGCCCCCUGGCGGAGAUCCGGGACGAACGUCGCGGGUUGAUGGCUAUUUUCCGGAUGUUAACAUUAUCAGAAGCCUGACCUCCACAUGGAGAAGAAGGGCCAGUGCUAAGAGGCCUCGCCACACAGCU